CGAGCCCUCCGGCAGGAGGGGGACCUGCGUUUGCCCUGCAAGUCUCUGGUCCAGACAGUGGCCCGCGCAGCGGCAUUUUUGCACCUGGGCAGAAGGUCCAAGAGCAACAGCUCCCGUUUCAGGGCCGAGGCCUUACUGUCCGUUCAGUUUUCUCAAAAAUCCUCCCCAGCUGGUUUAAUUCCCGCCCGGGUUUCACAAACAAGGAAGCGGAGGUUAACAGCGCGCAUGAGGUGACGCCAGGUCAAGAGAAGCAGAAACCGGGACGGCCCCCGCGUCCCCGCCUCUGUCCUCUACGCCACUGCCUCGGCCGGGACCCCGCCCCGGCCCCCCGGCCCAGCCCCGCUUUCCUGGACUCUGCCGGCUGCUCCGGAUCCAGCAGAGUCUAUUCCAAUGUCUGUUGAACAAGAGUAAGAAGAUAAGAUUCAAAGCAAUUCCCCAGGAAUCUUCAGAUUCUAUCCACUGUGAGACACUACCAGGUAUUCAAAGAUGGUUGGCUGCCUUUCAUUCCUCUGAACUCCGUCCUUCCUUGGCAUGAUGGAGAAGGAAGAGGAACUCAAGACCCACCUAGUGCAGCAUCUUACAUCUAAUGAGCCUACCUAAAGGUUUGUCAAGUUUUGACGUGUGUGACUGAGCCAUGGAGUUGUCUAGUGGCUAGCAUUCUAGGUGAGAUGACAAAUAAUACCAGCUAACACAUACUGAGAACUUGCUGUGCAUCAGGCAUUUAUUCCAAGUGCUUUACCCAGGUGGUCUUGGCUACUGACAGCUCUCCCAGUCAUCCACUGAAACCCUGGGAAGUCCAAAGAGGUGAUAAGCACAGCCUUGCAAGUGAGACCGUCCUGGAAUUCUACCCACCACCACUGAGAAGCAGUUUGUACUCCCAGAAUCCUUCUGAGCCUCAGUUUUCUCAUCUGUAAAAUGGAAAGAAACCCACCCCUACAGGAUCGCAGUGAGGAUGAAACAUGGUAUAAAGGUCCUGGCUCUAGUGACACUUUCUAAAUGACUCGUUUUUAUAAAAAUCCUCUCGACUUUAAUUUGGCGCUAGGUUUUCUAUCAGCCGAUAAUAUUUAUUACACACUUAGUAGGUACGAAAGAGGUCUGAGGUCUAGGGUGACAGAUAAGACAGACACACCAUAGCAAACCGCAGGAUCAGGGACAAGGGGCGGAUUUCCAGCAGACAUCUGGAACAGGUGGAGAAUUUGAAUGGGGUGCACAUUGAGGACAAACAGCAGAGUGACUUCCCUUUUCCCAGCCAUGAAUUUGGGAUAUUCUUCUCUUUUCCUGCGUGGGCUUUUGUGUUCCUCACAGAAGAAACCUGUACUUCUGAGAAGCGGACAAGAGAAGGUCAGGCUGUUACUCACGAAACAAUGACUCAAAACCCUGAGUCUUUUCCGGAUUUACCUACUUUAAAAAAGAAACCCUUUGCCCCAUUCAGGGGAGCGGGAGCAGCGGUGGGAGAGGCCGCGGGGGGGUCCUGCGGCUUUCUGGCAAAGGCAGUGCGUGUGUGAGGAAACCCUGCCGGCCAGCCGCUGCCACCAGAAGGAACCAAAACAUGAUGAGAAACCCCAUUCGGCAGACCACGGAAAAGUCCUCUUUGUCGUUUGAAAUUUUUAUCUUGUUUGUGGCAAAUCUAAUGAUUCAGUAACGACCACAGCUGUGUGGGGGCCUACGAAUUUCCUCCGAGGCUUCUCCCCGCCCUUCCUAGCAGGAACAAAACCAGCUGGGGAGCCCGUCCUCCCGGCUCUUUCCAGCUUCUGCAAUGUGUUCGGGACGAGCAGCCGGCCCGAGAUUUUAUCAGACUUCUCAUGAAUCUAAUUCCGGGGGGAGGAAGCCAAGUCAAACUGGCUGUUUGGGUUCACGGACAAUGCGUUUCUGGGCAUGAAAUUCAGCUCUUUCUCUGCUGUUGAGGUCAGUCUGAAAGAGCCCAACGGUGUCUCAUUUUGGUCCUCACUAUGGUCAUGACAGAGCAUCCCAGAGAAGAUUCGGGGUUCCCGUACCCUGCCAAGGGAGGGCAGGUGGCAUCUGCCAGUGACCCGCUUUCUUGCCCCUGACUUGUCCCCUCGGUCAGUGUCUCCCUACUGUGUGCUCUGAACCCAGGAGCAGCAAACAGAAGGCGAGGCAAGCUGGUAUGCCAUGGUGGCCACCGCAGUGUGGUGUGGGGUGCUGACUGCGUGACAUCAGCACACAGCUGCCCGGAGGCCUGCAGCUGGUGUGGGUGUG